AGCCCUUCCAGAAGGUACCUUCUGGCAAGGGUACUGUACUAAACUAACUAAAGUGGGGGAUAGUGAGGGGAUAAAUUUUCUUAAGGAACUCGGCAAAAUCCCAAUGGCCCACCAGGGCAUAUUGGAACACGGGCCUCGACUGUUUACCAAAAACAUAGCCCUCGGCUAAUAUGAAAAUAGAUGUAUAGAGGGUGAUGCCUGCCCAAUGGUUGUAUCUAAAAGCGGUUGAUAAAAGUUGACCUCGUAAGGACAAUUGAAUGGCCGCGGUAACACUGACCGUGAUAAUGUAGCGUAAUCAAUAGCCAAUUAAUUGUUGGCCAGUAUGAAUGGCGCCACGAAGGCCCCACUGUCUUAAGGAAAUUCCCAGUGAAAUUGAAUUCGUAGUGAAGAUGCUACGUCCAAUUUGUUAGACGAAAAGACCCCGUUGAGCUUUACUGGAGCACUUACAUGGCCCCGGCCUUCCCAUGCCUGGGAACCGGCCGAAUUUAAAUGGGCGGCUUAGAUUAUGUGGCAGCCCCCCGCUGGGGCAAAUGAAACACCACUCCCCCAUGUCAAAGGGGCUAACCCCCCCCCUUGGGGGGACAGUGUAAGUAGGACAGUUUGGUUGGGGCGACCACCUUUUAAAAAGUAACGAAGGUGCGCUUAAGGUGCGCAAUUAAUGACUGAAGCCUGACUGCGAGGGGGACACCCCGAGCAGACACCCCAAAGCCCGCCCGAAAGGCGGCGGUGGGGUGGGCCAUAGUGACCCGUUAAUUUAGAGUGGAAUAGUUAACGAUCAACGAAUAAAAGUUACCACGGGG
rnacentral:rRNA from 1 species